rnacentral:miRNA from 1 species
AGAGGUAUCACCUAGGGAUCUUGUUAAAAUGGGGAUUUUAAUUCAUUAGAUCAGAGGAGGGGCCUGAGAUUCUGCAUGUCUAACAAGCUCUCAGGGGCUGCUAUU